rnacentral:tRNA from 263 species
GCGGGUGUAGUUUAGUGGUAAAACCUCAGCCUUCCAAGCUGAUGAUGAGGGUUCGAUUCCCUUCACCCGCUCCA